CCGUACACAAAAGCGCAUGUGCUGUGAGCUCGAUGAGUAGGGCGGGACACGUGGUAUCCUGUCUGAAUAUGGGGGGACCAUCCUCCAAGGCUAAAUACUCCUGACUGACCGAUAGUGAACCAGUACCGUGAGGGAAAGGCGAAAAGAACCCCGGCGAGGGGAGUGAAAAAGAACCUGAAACCGUGUACGUACAAGCAGUGGGAGCACAGGUUUACCUGUGUGACUGCGUACCUUUUGUAUAAUGGGUCAGCGACUUAUAUUCUGUAGCAAGGUUAACCGUAUAGGGGAGCCGGAGGGAAACCGAGUCUUAACCGGGCGUUAAGUUGCAGGGUAUAGACCCGAAACCCGGUGAUCUAGCCAUGGGCAGGUUGAAGGUUGGGUAACACUAACUGGAGGACCGAACCGACUAAUGUUGAAAAAUUAGCGGAUGACCUGUGGCUGGGGGUGAAAGGCCAAUCAAACCGGGAGAUAGCUGGUUCUCCCCGAAAGCUAUUUAGGUAGCGCCUCGUGAAUUCAUCUCCGGGGGUAGAGCACUGUUUCGGCUAGGGGGCCAUCCCGGCUUACCAACCCGAUGCAAACUGCGAAUACCGGAGAAUGUUAUCACGGGAGACACACGGCGGGUGCUAACGUCCGUCGUGAAGAGGGAAACAACCCAGACCGCCAGCUAAGGUCCCAAAGUCAUGGUUAAGUGGGAAACGAUGUGGGAAGGCCCAGACAGCCAGGAUGUUGGCUUAGAAGCAGCCAUCAUUUAAAGAAAGCGUAAUAGCUCACUGGUCGAGUCGGCCUGCGCGGAAGAUGUAACGGGGCUAAACCAUGCACCGAAGCUGCGGCAGCGAACGUAUCACCCAAGACAACUUUACGGAGUUGACGAUUGACGGAGCGAAGCGACGUCAAAGCGUUCAUUAAAGUCGAGUUGGCUUAGGGAUACGUUCGUUGGGUAGGGGAGCGUUCUGUAAGCCUGUGAAGGUGUGUCGUGAGGCAUGCUGGAGGUAUCAGAAGUGCGAAUGCUGACAUAAGUAACGAUAAAGCGGGUGAAAAGCCCGCUCGCCGGAAGACCAAGGGUUCCUGUCCAACGUUAAUCGGGGCAGGGUGAGUCGACCCCUAAGGCGAGGCCGAAAGGCGUAGUCGAUGGGAAACGGGUUAAUAUUCCCGUACUUGGUGUUACUGCGAAGGGGGGACGGAGAAGGCUAUGUUGGCCGGGCGACGGUUGUCCCGGUUUAAGCGUGUAGGUGUGUGUUCCAGGUAAAUCCGGUUCACUUUAACACUGAGGCGUGACGACGAGGCACUACGGUGCUGAAGCAACAAAUGCCCUGCUUCCAGGAAAAGCCUCUAAGCAUCAGGUAACACGAAAUCGUACCCCAAACCGACACAGGUGGUCAGGUAGAGAAUACCAAGGCGCUUGAGAGAACUCGGGUGAAGGAACUAGGCAAAAUGGUGCCGUAACUUCGGGAGAAGGCACGCUGACACGUAGGUGAAGUGAUUUACUCAUGGAGCUGAAGUCAGUCGAAGAUACCAGCUGGCUGCAACUGUUUAUUAAAAACACAGCACUGUGCAAACACGAAAGUGGACGUAUACGGUGUGACGCCUGCCCGGUGCCGGAAGGUUAAUUGAUGGGGUCAGCGUAAGCGAAGCUCCUGAUCGAAGCCCCGGUAAACGGCGGCCGUAACUAUAACGGUCCUAAGGUAGCGAAAUUCCUUGUCGGGUAAGUUCCGACCUGCACGAAUGGCGUAAUGAUGGCCAGGCUGUCUCCACCCGAGACUCAGUGAAAUUGAACUCGCUGUGAAGAUGCAGUGUACCCGCGGCAAGACGGAAAGACCCCGUGAACCUUUACUAUAGCUUGACACUGAACAUUGAGCCUUGAUGUGUAGGAUAGGUGGGAGGCUUUGAAGUGUGGACGCCAGUCUGCAUGGAGCCGACCUUGAAAUACCACCCUUUAAUGUUUGAUGUUCUAACGUGGACCCGUAAUCCGGGUUGCGGACAGUGUCUGGUGGGUAGUUUGACUGGGGCGGUCUCCUCCUAAAGAGUAACGGAGGAGCACGAAGGUUGGCUAAUCCUGGUCGGACAUCAGGAGGUUAGUGCAAUGGCAUAAGCCAGCUUGACUGCGAGCGUGACGGCGCGAGCAGGUGCGAAAGCAGGUCAUAGUGAUCCGGUGGUUCUGAAUGGAAGGGCCAUCGCUCAACGGAUAAAAGGUACUCCGGGGAUAACAGGCUGAUACCGCCCAAGAGUUCAUAUCGACGGCGGUGUUUGGCACCUCGAUGUCGGCUCAUCACAUCCUGGGGCUGAAGUAGGUCCCAAGGGUAUGGCUGUUCGCCAUUUAAAGUGGUACGCGAGCUGGGUUUAGAACGUCGUGAGACAGUUCGGUCCCUAUCUGCCGUGGGCGCUGGAGAACUGAGGGGGGCUGCUCCUAGUACGAGAGGACCGGAGUGGACGCAUCACUGGUGUUCGGGUUGUCAUGCCAAUGGCACUGCCCGGUAGCUAAAUGCGGAAGAGAUAAGUGCUGAAAGCAUCUAAGCACGAAACUUGCCCCGAGAUGAGUUCUCCCUGAGACUUAGAGUCUCCUGAAGGAACGUUGAAGACGACGACGUUGAUAGGCCGGGUGUGUAAGCGCAGCGAUGCGUUGAGCUAACCGGUACUAAUGAACCGUGAGGCUUAACCUUACAACGCCGAAG
rnacentral:rRNA from 1 species